rnacentral:rRNA from 1 species
CACGUAGGGUGCGAGCGUUGUCCGGAAUUAUUGGGCGUAAAGAGCUCGUAGGCGGUGUGUCGCGUCGGCCGUGAAAACCUGCAGCUUAACUGUGGGCUUGCGGUCGAUACGGGCAUCACUGGAGUUCGGCAGGGGAGACUGGAAUUCCUGGUGUAGCGGUGAAAUGCGUAGAUAUUGGGAGGAAUACCGGUGGCGAAGGCGGCCCCCUGGACCGGUACUGACGCUGAGGCGCGAAAGCGUGGGUAGCAAACGGG